rnacentral:lncRNA from 1 species
UAAUUGUCAGCUAGAUCAAAAGGUUGGUACGUAGGCUUAAUUAGGUUGGUAGGAAAAGGAGAGAAAGAUAAAAGCUUGCGCCUGUCUGAUGAACGUGCGUGUCUAGCGAGCAGCUUCAGUUUGUUGAAUCUAAAUAAGGUACCAUCUCUGAAUCCCGUGACUUACUGAAAAAAAAAUUGCCUAGUUUGAUCUGACGACCAAGGAACUAGUUCAGGUUGCACGAUUUCUUCAUCUUUUCAGCACUACUCCCUCC